rnacentral:rRNA from 1 species
GGACGAACGCUGGCGGCGUGCUUAACACAUGCAAGUCGAGCGGUAAGGCCCUUUCGGGGGUACACGAGCGGCGAACGGGUGAGUAACACGUGGGUGACCUGCCCUCAGCUCUGGGAUAAGCCUGGGAAACCGGGUCUAAUACCGGAUAUGACUCCAUGACGCAUGUUGGUGGGGUGGAAAGCCUUGUGCGGCUGAGGAUGGGGCCCGCGGCCUAUCAGCUUGGUUGGUGGGGUGANGGCCUACCAAGGCGACGACGGGUAGCCGGCCUGAGA